AGACCAGUCAAGUGGAGGAAUAAAAGCCUACGGAGUAAACAAAUGGACUGAAUGAUUGGCUAGACCCAAGUACAGUUGACCCUUGAACACAGGUUUACACUACAUGGAUCCACUUAUAGGCAGAUUUUUCCACCUCUCCCAUUGCUGGGACAGCAAGACCAACCCCCGCCCUCUUUUUCAGCCUCAGAGAUGCCCAGGGCUUUUUUAAAAAAAGUUUUUUGGAGAUGAGGUCUCGCUAUUGUUGUCCAGGCUGGUCUCAAAUUCCUGGGCUCAAGCAAUCCUCUUGCCUCGGCCUCCCAAAGUGUUGGAAUUACAGGCAUGAUCUACCAUGCCUGGCAGGUACAUUUUUAGGAAGUAAAAAAAUUAUACUUGAAUUUUUGCCUGUGCAAGGGGUCAGUGCCUCAACCCUCUCAUUGUUCAAGGGCCAACUCUACUCUGACGAUGUUCACUGGUUUGUUCCUAUUGGAAAGGAAAUGUCAGCAAAAAUCAUCUUAGAAAAUAAGUAUUAUGUGCUUUUCUUUUAUCAUAGAAUUGUAAAAUCAAAAGGAGCCAUGUAGAAGGCCCUUGAAAAUUCUUAAGUUGCUGCACACACAUAAAAUUCUAUUAUCAUGGAUAGAGCGUAGAGUCACUCACUCUACACUACCUUAGUGCAGUCCCUAUAGAAGUUUCAUCAAGCUUUUUUGCUUGUUACAAAUCACUUUAAACCUGUAAAACACCUGUAAAAACAGCUCCUCAUUGUUGAAGGUAUAUUUACUGUCCAUGUCCUUUGAAAGAUGUUUUUACCAUCUUUAUUUCAAUAAUUAACUGUGGUGAGUGCUGUAAAGGGAAAGUCUCAGCAUGUGAUUGGAACAUUUAGAAUACUGGUGGGAGAAGUCCACCAGGCAAAGGGAAGAGCACUGCAAUCAGACAGUGUCUGUGUCUUCCCUAAGGCAGAAGGAGCGGUGCGGUGGCUCGCACCUGUAAUUCCAGCACUUUGGGAGGGCGAGGCAGGCAAAUCACAAGGUCAGGAGUUCAAGACUAGCUUGGCCAAGAUGGUGAAACCCCAUCUCUACUAAAAAUAUUUAAAAAAUAGCUUGGCGUAGUGGCGGGCACUUAUAAUCCCAGCUACUUGGGAGGCUGGGGCAGGAGAAUCACUUGAACCCAGGAGGCGGAGCUUGCAGUGAGCUGAGAUUGUGCCACUGCACUCCAGCCUGGGUGACAGAGCAAGACCUCAACCAAAAAAGAAAAAGAAAGAAAUUAAGAUUGUAGGCAUUUUCUUCCUUGUUUUGGUUCAACUGCCAGAACUUAAAAUCAAACUAUACAUGCGUCGACCUGCUCAGCUUAGGUUUCUGGUGAACUUCUUUCAUACGAAUGUUGCUGUUUUACCUCACACUAUGUUAACAACUCCAAGUUUCCCCAAAUUUUCGUUCCACUUAGUUUUAAAUGCAAAACAGACUUGGUUGUAGAUAGCCAAAUAUUACGUGCGCACGCAC
rnacentral:lncRNA from 1 species